rnacentral:pre_miRNA from 1 species
ACCAGCCGGUGCACCUGGACCGGCCGGGUCUGCCCGAUCCGGUACGCCCGGUCGGUCGCCUGGUCCUCCACCGCCGGGU